AUCCACCCUGGCACCUGACCCAU
rnacentral:misc_RNA from 1 species